rnacentral:rRNA from 1 species
CACUCCUACGGGAGGCAGCAGUAGGGAAUCUUCCACAAUGGGUGCAAACCUGAUGGAGCAAUGCCGCGUGAGUGAAGAAGGUCUUCGGAUCGUAAAGCUCUGUCGUUAGAGAAGAACACGUGCUAGGUAACUACUAGCGCCUUGACGGUAUCUAACCAGAAAGUCACGGCUAACUACGUGCCAGCAGCCGCGGUAAUACGUAGGUGACAAGCGUUGUCCGGAUUUAUUGGGCGUAAAGGGAGCGCAGGCGGUCUGUUUAGUCUAAUGUGAAAGCCCACGGCUUAACCGUGGAACGGCAUUGGAAACUGACAGACUUGAAUGUAGAAGAGGAAAAUGGAAUUCCAAGUGUAGCGGUGGAAUGCGUAGAUAUUUGGAGGAACACCAGUGGCGAAGGCGAUUUUCUGGUCUAACAUUGACGCUGAGGCUCGAAAGCGUGGGGAGCGAACAGGAUUAGAAACCCUUGUAGUCCCAUG